GACCUCAUAGUUCAACCGGAUAGAACGGGGGAUUCCUAAUCCCCAGAUCGAGGUUCAAGUCCUCGUGGGGUCA
rnacentral:tRNA from 1 species